rnacentral:rRNA from 1 species
UCGACGGCAGCCAGCAGAGCUUGCUCUGUGGGUGGCGAGUGGCGGACGGGUGAGUAAUGCAUCGGGACCUACCCAGACGUGGGGGAUAACCUCGGGAAACCGGGACUAAUACCGCAUACGUCCUACGGGAGAAAGCGGGGGACCUUCGGGCCUCGCGCGGCAGGACGAACCGAUGUGCGAUUAGCUAGUUGGCGGGGUAACGGCCCACCAAGGCGACGAUCGCUAGCUGGUCUGAGAGGAUGAUCAGCCACACUGGGACUGAAACACGGCCCAGACUCCUACGGGAGGCAGCAGUGGGGAAUAUUGGACAAUGGGCGCAAGCCUGAUCCAGCAAUGCCGCGUGUGUGAAGAAGGCCUUCGGGUUGUAAAGCACUUUUAUCAGGAGCGAAAUACCACGGGUUAAUACCCUAUGGGGCUGACGGUACCUGAGGAAUAAGCACCGGCUAACUUCGUGCCAGCAGCCGCGGUAAUACGAAGGGUGCAAGCGUUAAUCGGAAUUACUGGGCGUAAAGGGUGCGUAGGCGGUUGUUUAAGUCUGUCGUGAAAUCCCCGGGCUCAACCUGGGAAUGGCGAUGGAUACUGGGCAGCUAGAGUGUGUCAGAGGAUGGUGGAAUUCCCGGUGUAGCGGUGAAAUGCGUAGAGAUCGGGAGGAACAUCAGUGGCGAAGGCGGCCAUCUGGGACAACACUGACGCUGAAGCACGAAAGCGUGGGGAGCAAACAGGAUUAGAUACCCUGGUAGUCCACGCCCUACACGAUGCGAACUGGAUGUUGGUCUCAACUC